CACAAGCGGAGGAGCAUGUGGUUUAAUUCGAUGAUACGCGAGGAACCUUACCUGGGCUCGAACGUAAGAUGACUGUAGGUGAAAGCUUACAUCUCUUCGGAGCAUUUUACGAGGUGCUGCAUGGUUGUCGUCAGCUCGUGCCGUGAGGUGUCGGGUUAAGUCCCAUAACGAGCGCAACCCCUACCUUUAGUUGCCAUCAGGUAAUGCUGGGGACUCUAAAGGAACUGCCUACGCAAGUAGUGAGGAAGGCGGGGAUGACGUCAAAUCAGCACGGCCCUUACGUCCAGGGCUACACACGUGCUACAAUGGCCGAUACAGAGGGCAGCUACCUGGUGACAGGAUGCAAAUCCCCAAAGUCGGUCUCAGUUCGGAUCGGAGUCUGCAACCCGACUCCGUGAAGUUGGAUUCGCUAGUAAUCGCGCAUCAGCCAUGGCGCGGUGAAUACGUUCCCGGGCCUU
rnacentral:rRNA from 1 species